rnacentral:lncRNA from 1 species
CUGGCACAAGAUGGCAGCGGCCAUCAGCUAGCUCAAAGUACUUGCUGUGGUUGGGAAAAGACAAGAGGUCCCCUCAGGAAGCAGCUGCUGGGAAGGUGCGCCAUAAAGAAGACAAGACACAAGGAGCCCGCUUUUGUCUGCAUCUCAAGGCAUGCCAUAGAGAAGCAAGGAGGAACAACUGCGAGACCACCAGGAGAGCAGGAGGACAAGGGAGGACUUGGCCAAGGUAGAGUUGGGAUUCAUUCAUUCCCAGGACUGCAACAAAGAGAGGUUUCUUCAGAAAACCUGCACCGGCGCUUGUGUUCAUCUCAGACACAUUCUGGAUUAAAGGCAGUUUUGAGAUAAGAUUUUGAUUCGUUCUUGUGUCUGAUUUUGUUUCUUG